UUGGGUUGUAGGGGGAAAGAGUGGGUGAAUAUAAUUAUCUCGGUCUAACUUAUACUGUUUAUUAUACCGCUAUUCGCAGCAAUAUCUUUCUCUGCUCCGAUUGCAACGCUGCCUCGUUCAAAAAUCAUAACACCGCCGCGGCCGCCACGUUUACCAGCCGGAGCCUCAAAUCAUGUCCCUUUGUGGUGAUAAAGAGGACACAGCCUGGUGUGAAGCUACAUUUAUUACGGAAGGAUGCCAGCCGGGAUCCGAACACGUCCGAUAUCAUCCAAGAGAAUGUGGCAGCUGAAGGGGGAGAGGCCAAGAAAGAGGCCAAGGGUGAAGACAUUUAGCCACCCCCCCUGAAGUACAUGGCAGCAUCCAACCCUCUUGGUGAGCUGCAGGAAUGUGCUCCCCAUUGCAGUGCACCAGCUCCAUGUACUGAUUUUGGUAUGAAUACUUCAUCUAGUGUUUGUUGAUUGUUGUGUUAUUAAUCUAAUUAUGACUUCACAAAAUAGACUGUGCAAGUCACUUAACACAUGCCCUGCUCAACAUCACUUUUAAGUUGUAGAAUUCCUUCAUAUGGAUGCUGAUUUAUGUAUCCUGAAAUGAUUGGAUAUUGAUUGUCUUAACAUUUUUUUUUGUCCAUGAUCACUGAACCAUGUUACGGUAUGUCUUUGGGUGAAGAU